rnacentral:rRNA from 1 species
CAUGUCCAGGAUGAAGGUAAGGUAAUACUUACUGGAGGUCCGAACCCACGCACGUUGAAAAGUGCGGGGAUGAGGUGUGGGUAGCGGAGAAAUUCCAAUCGAACUUGGAGAUAGCUGGUUCUCUCCGAAAUAGCUUUAGGGCUAGCCUCGAGGUAAAGAGUCAUGGAGGUAGAGCACUGUUUGGACUAGGGGCCCUUCUCGGGUUACCGAAUUCAGAUAAACUCCGAAUGCCAUGUACUUAUACUCGGGAGUCAGACUGCGAGUGAUAAGAUCCGUAGUCGAAAGGGAAACAGCCCAGACCACCAGUUAAGGUCCCCAAAUAUAUGUUAAGUGGAAAAGGAUGUGGGGUUGCUUAGACAACCAGGAUGUUGGCUUAGAAGCAGCCACCAUUGAAAGAGUGCGUAAUAGCUCACUGGUCGAGUGACCCCGCGCCGAAAAUGUACCGGGGCUAAACAUAUUACCGAAACUGUGGAUGAACCUCUUUAGAGGUUCGUGGUAGGAGAGCGUUCUAAGGGCGGUGAAGUCAGACCGGAAGGACUGGUGGAGCGCUUAGAAGUGAGAAUGCCGGUAUGAGUAGCGAAAGAAGGGUGAGAAUCCCUUCCACCGAAUAUCUAAGGUUUCCUGAGGAAGGCUCGUCCGCUCAGGGUUAGUCGGGACCUAAGCCGAGGCCGAUAGGCGUAGGCGAUGGACAACAGGUAGAGAUUCCUGUACCAGUGCUAAUUGUUUAACCGAUGGGGUGACACAGAAGGAUAGGGAAUCGCACGAAUGGAAAUGUGCGUCCAAGCAGUGAGUGUGAGAAGUAGGCAAAUCCGCUUCUCGCGAAGCAUGAGCUGUGAUGGGGAAGGAAAUUAAGUACGGAAGUUCCUGAUUUCACGCUGUCAAGAAAAGCCUCUAGGAAGAGUAGUACUGCCCGUACCGCAAACCGACACAGGUAGAUGAGGAGAGAAUCCUAAGGUGAGCGAGAGAACUCUCGUUAAGGAACUCGGCAAAAUGACCCCGUAACUUCGGGAGAAGGGGUGCUCUAUUAGGGUGCAAGCCCGAGAGAGCCGCAGUGAAUAGGCCCAGGCGACUGUUUAGCAAAAACACAGGUCUCUGCAAAACCGUAAGGUGACGUAUAGGGGCUGACGCCUGCCCGGUGCUGGAAGGUUAAGAGGAGUGCUUAGCUUCGGCGAAGGUACGAAUUGAAGCCCCAGUAAACGGCGGCCGUAACUAUAACGGUCCUAAGGUAGCGAAAUUCCUUGUCGGGUAAGUUCCGACCCGCACGAAAGGCGCAACGAUCUGGGCACUGUCUCAACGAGAGACUCGGUGAAAUUAUAGUACCUGUGAAGAUGCAGGUUACCCGCGACAGGACGGAAAGACCCCGUGGAGCUUUACUGCAACCUGAUAUGGAAUGUUUGUACCGCUUGUACAGGAUAGGUAGGAGCCGAAGAGACGUGUGCGCUAGCAUACGAGGAGGCAAUGGUGGGAUACUACCCUGGCUGUAUGACCAUUCUAACCCGCCACGCUUAGCGCGUGGGGAGACAGUGUCAGGUGGGCAGUUUGACUGGGGCGGUCGCCUCCUAAAGAGUAACGGAGGCGCCCAAAGGUUCCCUCAGAAUGGAUGGAAAUCAUUCGCAGAGUGUAAAGGCACAAGGGAGCUUGACUGCGAGACUGACAAGUCGAGCAGGGACGAAAGUCGGGCUUAGUGAUCCGGUGGUUCCGCAUGGAAGGGCCAUCGCUCAACGGAUAAAAGCUACCCCGGGGAUAACAGGCUUAUCUCCCCCAAGAGUCCACAUCGACGGGGAGGUUUGGCACCUCGAUGUCGGCUCGUCGCAUCCUGGGGCUGUAGUCGGUCCCAAGGGUUGGGCUGUUCGCCCAUUAAAGCGGCACGCGAGCUGGGUUCAGAACGUCGUGAGACAGUUCGGUCCCUAUCCGUCGCGGGCGCAGGAAAUUUGAGAGGAGCUGUCCUUAGUACGAGAGGACCGGGAUGGACACACCGCUGGUGUACCAGUUGUUCCGCCAGGAGCAUCGCUGGGUAGCUAUGUGUGGCAGGGAUAAACGCUGAAAGCAUCUAAGCGUGAAGCCCCCCUCAAGAUGAGAUUUCCCAUUUCUUCGGAAAGUAAGAUCCCUGAAAGAUGAUCAGGUAGAUAGGUUUGGAGUGGAAGUGUAGCGAUACAUGGAGCGGACAAAUACUAAUCGAUCGAGGACUUAACCAAAA